rnacentral:rRNA from 1 species
GACGAACGCUGGCGGCGUGCUUAACACAUGCAAGUCGAACGAGUGGCGAACGGGUGAGUACUACGUAAGUAACCUGCCCUCUUUUUGGGAUAAGCCUUGGAAACGGGGGCUAAUACGGGAUAGAGGGGGAUGGGCUCGCGGCCUAUUAGCUUGUUGGUGGGGUGAUGGCCUACCAAGGCGGUGACGGGUAGCCGGCCUGAGAGGGGGACAGGGAACGUAGGGACGGAGAUGCGGCCCAGACGCCGACGGGGGGGGGAAUUGGGGGAUAUUGCAGAAUGGGCGAAAGACUGAUGCAGCGACGGCGCAGGGGGGAUGAGGGCUUUCGGGUUGUAAACCUCUUUCGCAAUCGAACGGGUAUGUGGAGAAGAAGCGCCGGCUAACUACGUGCCAGCAGCCGCGGUAAUAC